GUGCUCACUUUGACAGCACAUACGCUAAAACUGGAAUGAUACAGACAUUAGCACGGCCCCUCUGCAAAGAUGACACGAAAAUUCCUGAAGCAUUCCAUUAGAAA
ensembl:snRNA U6 U6 spliceosomal RNA